GAUGAAGAACGUAGCGAAAUGCGAUACGUAAUGUGAAUUGCAGAAUUCAGUGAAUCAUCGAAUCUUUGAACGCAUAUUGCGCUCUCUGGUAUUCCGGAGAGCAUGCUUGUUUGAGUAUCAGUAAACACCUCAACUCCCUUUUCUUUUUUGAAAUUGGAGCUGGACUUGAGUGAUCCCAACGCUUUCUUCCAAGAAAGUGGCGGGUUGCUUGAAAUGCAGGUGCAGCUGAACUUUUCUCUGAGCUAUAAGCAUAUCUAUUUAGUCUGCCUAAAAAACAGAUUAUUACCUUUGCUGCAGCUAACAUAAAGGAGACUAGUUCUUGUGCUGACUGAUGCAGGAUUCCCAGAGACAGCUUCGGCUGACUUUGUAAACUCGAUCUCAAAUCAAGUAAGACUACCCGCUGAACUUAAGCAUAUCAAUAAGCGGAGGA
rnacentral:misc_RNA from 1 species